UCCCUGGUAGCUCAGACGGUAAAGUGUCUGCCUACAAUGCGGGAGACCCGGGUUUGAUCCCUGGGCUGGGAA
rnacentral:tRNA from 1 species